UGGGCGUGGGGGAGCUUACACAUGCAGUCGAGCGGGGAGGGGUAGCUUGCUACCUGACCUAGCGGCGGACGGGUGAGUAAUGCUUAGGAAUCUGCCUAUUAGUGGGGGACAACAUUCCGAAAGGAAUGCUAAUACCGCAUACGCCCUACGGGGGAAAGCAGGGGAUCUUCGGACCUUGCGCUAAUAGAUGAGCCUAAGUCAGAUUAGCUAGUUGGUGGGGUAAAGGCCUACCAAGGCGACGAUCUGUAGCGGGUCUGAGAGGAUGAUCCGCCACACUGGGACUGAGACACGGCCCAGACUCCUACGGGAGGCAGCAGUGGGGAAUAUUGGACAAUGGGCGAAAGCCUGAUCCAGCCAUGCCGCGUGUGUGAAGAAGGCCUUUUGGUUGUAAAGCACUUUAAGCGAGGAGGAGGCUACUUGGAUUAAUACUCUAGGAUAGUGGACGUUACUCGCAGAAUAAGCACCGGCUAACUCUGUGCCAGCAGCCGCGGUAAUACAGAGGGUGCGAGCGUUAAUCGGAUUUACUGGGCGUAAAGCGUGCGUAGGCGGCUUCUUAAGUCGGAUGUGAAAUCCCUGAGCUUAACUUAGGAAUUGCAUUCGAUACUGGGAAGCUAGAGUAUGGGAGAGGAUGGUAGAAUUCCAGGUGUAGCGGUGAAAUGCGUAGAGAUCUGGAGGAAUACCGAUGGCGAAGGCAGCCAUCUGGCCUAAUACUGACGCUGAGGUACGAAAGCAUGGGGAGCAAACAGGAUUAGAUACCCUGGUAGUCCAUGCCGUAAACGAUGUCUACUAGCCGUUGGGGCCUUUGAGGCUUUAGUGGCGCAGCUAACGCGAUAAGUAGACCGCCUGGGGAGUACGGUCGCAAGACUAAAACUCAAAUGAAUUGACGGGGGCCCGCACAAGCGGUGGAGCAUGUGGUUUAAUUCGAUGCAACGCGAAGAACCUUACCUGGUCUUGACAUAGUAAGAACUUUCCAGAGAUGGAUUGGUGCCUUCGGGAACUUACAUACAGGUGCUGCAUGGCUGUCGUCAGCUCGUGUCGUGAGAUGUUGGGUUAAGUCCCGCAACGAGCGCAACCCUUUUCCUUAUUUGCCAUCGGGUAAGCCGGGAACUUUAAGGAUACUGCCAGUGACCAAACUGGAGGAAGGCGGGGGACGAACGUC
rnacentral:rRNA from 1 species